rnacentral:lncRNA from 14 species
AUGGGAGCCCCCACAUGCAGGCCCUCAUGGAGCAGCACAGUUCCUUCAUCAGACAUCAAUGAGACCCAGGUUCAAGAAAAUGGUGUUGCCAUCGCUCUCAGCUCCACUGCAUGGAUUCAUACACCUCCCGGCAUUCUGGGACACAUCAAAAUUGCCCAGGUUCAAGUAAAUGGUAUUGCCCUUGGUCACAUCUUCACAGGACAAAUCUUCACUUCUGCUGGUGCCCUCGGUCACUUUCCAGCAGCAUUGGUCCCCAGAUGCAUUGGUGUACCUGGUCACUUCCAGACAGUACGGAAAUGCGCACGGUGUUAGAUCAAUAUUACCCAAGUUCAAGUAAAUUGUAGUGCACUUGGCAACUUGUUCAGAGCACGGAUCCUCACACCCAGGAUUCUGCAUCAAAUCAAGAUCACCCGGGUUCAAAUAAAUGGUGGUGCCCUUGGUCA